GGCCACGCCCACCAACGGCCGCGGCGUACCCUGAGUGGCCCCGCUGGCGGCACUUGGUCUGUGUUUACUCACAGGUGAUCACAAAACUGGAGCCACCCUGAGGAGUGUGUCAAUUUUAUCUCCACACCUCACACAAGAGGACAGACUGGCCUGAACCACUGGUAUCUCACAAAGUGGUGUUAUGCACAGCCAGAUUCUCCAAAGUCUGGAGUGUCAGUGAUUCCUGGGAUUGCAUCAACCAGGCCAAGGUGGAGAGGAUUAAGGCAGGAGGGUAAAGUUGGUCCAUCUUAUACCAUCAUGGCCAGAAGUGGAAGUUUUCCCAGGAAGUUUU